AUUGAACGCUGGCGGCAUGCCUAACACAUGCAAGUCGAACGGCAGCACAGUAAAGAUUUCGGUCUUUAUGGGUGGCGAGUGGCGGACGGGUGAGUAAUGCGUAGGAAUCUGUCCUGGAGAGUAGGAUAACCCGAGGAAACUCGGGCUAAUACUGCAUGAUAUCGAGAGAUCAAAGGCAGGGGACCCUUCGGGGCCUUGCGCUCUAGGAUGAGCCUACGUCGGAUUAGCUAGUUGGUGGGGUAAAGGCCUACCAAGGCGACGAUCCGUAGCUGGUCUGAGAGGAUGACCAGCCACACUGGGACUGAGACACGGCCCAGACUCCUACGGGAGGCAGCAGUGGGGAAUCUUGGACAAUGGGGGAAACCCUGAUCCAGCGAUGCCGCGUGUGUGAAGAAGGCCUUCGGGUUGUAAAGCACUUUAGUUGGGGAAGAAAAGUAAUGAGUGAAUAACUGAUUGCUCUGACGGUACCCAAAGAAUAAGCACCGGCUAACUCUGUGCCAGCCGCCGCCGUAA
rnacentral:rRNA from 1 species